AGCUUCCAUUUGUUUAAUUAUACCCGUAAAUAUAUGAAAUCACGAUCAUAAAUAUCCGCAUUCCUCUAUCGAUUACGAUGUUAAACGAUCCUGAAAAUACUUUUCGUUUCCUUCGUCACGGAUCCAACUUGGUCUAUCCCAAUAAUAGAGAGGCCACUUCAGCCACCAAUUUAAUUUCGAAAACAAUUCCAAAAUCGCUACACUCCCGUCACAGAUUUAACACCACGUUAGCACAGAAAUCCACUACAGACUCGAAAGUACAUACUAUUGCAGCUACUAUAUAGCAUCGUCGGAGAUGCAACGGUUUCGAAGCGUCUCGAUGCCAGUUUCUUGAUGCUAGCAGAUAGUAACACAAUGCGCGUCGCAAAAAGAUGUUCUAACAGAGCCAGGCGGCUCGUUCGACGUCUACCGAGUACGAUUAAUUGCUAAGACGGCGGACAUUAAUUGCCAGUGCCGCGACCACAGCUCGUGUGACUAUUAAUUACGGAUGUAGACGACGGCGGGAUCGGACUUCGAAGUGCAGGAACAAGACGCGCGUUCGCUAGACUGUGAACAGGUGAACCUCGGCGCGGUAAUGGGAUCGUAAUAGAUCGUAAAAUCGGCUGAAUACCUUCUCGGAUGUUAUCUUCGUUUUUCCGAAUCGAAAUCAAAUACGAAAGUGUCGUACGGUGGACGUUGGAACUUGCAACGGUUCGAUGUUCCAACAAAAAUGUCAAGGAAAAUUCAGCGUUUAAACUCGGACGAGAACUGCAAGUUUAAAUAAAAAUAUCAAGGAAAAUGUAGCAUUUUUAAACUGGAAGGGAAACUCGAAGUUUGAAUAAAUAAAAAUGUCAAGGAAAAUUCAGCUUCUGAACUCGAUGUUGGAACAAAGAUGUCAAGGAAAAUUCUGUUUCUAAACACCAAUGAAAACUCUCGGUACAAGGAGACAAAGAGUCACUUGUCGUCAUGCAGUCGUCACGUAGUCGUCUUGUCUAAAACACACAGCCUUGUAGAAAAGUCAUUGAGAACAUGGCAAUUGUCAACAGCAGUAUUAAUCAGUUUACCGAUAAUGCAAUGGAGCAUCUUGGAAAAGUACGAAAAAAUAGACAAAUGUAUUUCUACAAAGAAACGUCAAGUAGCGAUGUCGAUAAAUCGCAACCUUCGACUAGCCGAUCAUAGGAAAAUGAUUAAUUAUUUGAUACUAUAAAAUAUUUUUAUACAUGAUCCAGCACCAAAUUAUGAGCAAUUCUACUUUUUUCCGAGAGACGUCCGAAUAAUUGCUGCCAUUGCCGUAUUUUUUAAUAUUUCUCCGUGAAAAUUUUAUACAAUAUUCUUCGAAUGUCAUACUUUAACGUACUAUUGGUUUUAAUAAAGAGACUUUAACUGUGUCGUCACAAAUAAUUCACAAAAACA
rnacentral:lncRNA from 1 species